UGCACAUAUUGGCAUGGACUAC
rnacentral:piRNA from 1 species